CAUGCAAGUCGAACGGAAAGGCCCUUUCGGGGGUACUCGAGUGGCGAACGGGUGAGUAACACGUGGGUGAUCUGCCCUGCACUUUGGGAUAAGCCUGGGAAACUGGGUCUAAUACCGAAUAGGACCACGCGCUUCAUGGUGUGUGGUGGAAAGCUUUUGCGGUGUGGGAUGGGCCCGCGGCCUAUCAGCUUGUUGGUGGGGUAAUGGCCUACCAAGGCGACGACGGGUAGCCGGCCUGAGAGGGUGUCCGGCCACACUGGGACUGAGAUACGGCCCAGACUCCUACGGGAGGCAGCAGUGGGGAAUAUUGCACAAUGGGCGCAAGCCUGAUGCAGCGACGCCGCGUGGGGGAUGACGGCCUUCGGGUUGUAAACCUCUUUCAGUAUCGGCGAAGCUCCAAGGUUUUCUUUGGGGUGACGGUAGGUACAGAAGAAGCACCGGCCAAC
rnacentral:rRNA from 1 species